UGCCCUCCCUGCAAACUCCCUCUCCACAGACCUUCCCUGUUCAACACCUAGUCCUGGGAGCAGUGUAGGAACCAAGGAAAGCUUCAAGGAGGCCCUUCCUCAGGCUGAGGAGUUUGAGGCAUGGCCAGUAAGAGGCAAAAGGAACUCCCGUUUUUUGUGUCUAUUGUAUGACUGGCAAGGUUCUGAGGAGUCUACCUAUGUGGCUUCAUUAGGUUAAAAGCCAGGCAUUCACCCUAUUUUAUAUAAGUGGAACCUGAGGCUCAAAGAGACAAGACAGACCAAAGUCUCACAGCUGAUGGUCAGUCUUGGAGCAGGACUUGAGUACAGGGUUUCUGACCCAGGAACGCCCGCUUUUUCUGAAUUCCCCCCCACCCCCGCCCAGUACACGUUGUCAAGACACAGCCUCCAGCCUCAGUCUGGGGAGGGUUAGAAAGUUGGGUGAAUCCCUUCAGCUCUGGGCCUCUGCUGGUAGCAUGAGAAGCAGCUAGCAACCCUUUCUGAGUCCUGGGCUGGGCUUCAGUGGCAGCAGCAGUGGAGGAACUGCACUAUUUUAAGCCAGGGCCAGUAGGCCCCAUGUGGGCACAGGGAGGGUGGCCUCAGGCCCUUGGCCAACUUCCCGGAAGUUGCCAUGGCCUCCCUCCUCUCCCCUGAGCAGCUUUCUGAGGCAGUCACUUCCCUACAAACAGGAAGGAGGCUCUCAGGCCGAGAGACCUCCAGCCCCAGCUUCCUUCUCCUGCCCCACACCCCCUAGUCUUCACUAAUACAUGGGGGAGCCCACCAUUUCCAGGCCCUGACCAGUGUCCAUUAUCUGGGCUGUCUCCUGGCUGUCUCCACCCAGGUGGGUGGGAGGGGGUCUGGAUUUCUGCUGCUCAGGCCGCCCCAGUUCACCCAUUGCAAGUCUGGGCCUCCACCUGCCCAAGAUCUUUGUCCCCUUGCCCGCAGCCUGAUUUCUCCUACACAUUACCAUAGAGGCUGGUCACCGUGAGCCAGAAGAGCAGAGUAUCCCCAGAUUUGGUCCCACUCAAGGAUCUUAGAGAGAGAGAAGCUGGGACAUUCCCAGAGAAAGAUGGAGGCAAACACAGAUUGACUGUGACAGAAACAAAAGCAGAGAUGUUCACAGGCAAGAGCAGAGAGAAAUAAGACACAGCUGCAAAGGGCUGGGGCCAAGAGGGCAGUGGGGUGUCUCUGAGUGGUUGCUCCUGACCACCCCCAAGUACAGGCCCUGUCUCAGGGCUGUGUGGGGCCCACCGGCUGCAUGGUUGAAGAGGAAUGUGGGGAGCAAGGCUGGGUCACCCCUUGAGGGCCAAGCGUGUGCAGUGUGAGAUAAACUACCCCAGGAAGGGGGCCCCAGCUGCGGCUGCACGCUCCAGGAGCAUGGCGGAGAGGCCUGGGCCCAAGGUUGGAGCCCCCGCGCUGCCAGACACCCAGUUCCUGAGUCUCCUCCUAGGAGUUUCCACCGGGCCUCACAGUCUAGAAGGUCUCAGGACCCACAGCCCAGUCCUGAGGGCAUGCAGAUUCCCAUUCACAGAGCAAGGUGGGCCCUGGCAACCCUGCCAGCCACAGAGUCACUUCUCCAGCUCUGGCUGCAGUCCUGGCUCAGUUGCCUGCUUGUCCUACCCUGGAGCCACUGGAACCAACCACCCAGCCCUGCAGGAAGUCUCAGCCCAACCUCAACUUCCCCAGCUGUUGACCGGGAGCGUCAGCAGCCCUCUGUGGAUGGUGACAUUCAGAGAAGACGACGUGGAAUAAACUGCACACACGAGAGGUGUUCGGAGAAGAAAAAAAAAAUAGACCUAAAUGAAGAGAAACACCAACAAAGAAGGAGAGAGGCCUGCAGAGUCACGUG